rnacentral:piRNA from 1 species
UGUUAGCAAAUACUGGAGAGAAUCAUUCU